CCACGACUAUAACGUGGAGGCAUUUGCUGGGACACGACAGCAGUAAGUGCUUCCAUGUUUUAGUGUGG
rnacentral:pre_miRNA from 1 species